rnacentral:rRNA from 1 species
CAAGUCGAACGCAGUAGCAAUACUGAGUGGCAGACGGGUGAGUAUAAUGUGGGAAUCUGCCUUUUGGUUUGGAAUAACUCGGGGAAACCUGAGCUAAUACUGGAUAAGCCCUUACGGGGAAAGCUUUAUGCGCCAAAAGAUGAGCCCGCACUUGAUUAGCUUGUUGGUGAGGUAAAAGCUCACCAAGGCAACGAUCAAUAGCUGUUCUUAGAGGAAGACCAGCCACAUUGGGACUGAGACACGGCCCAGACUCCUACGGGAGGCAGCAGUAAGGAAUCUUGCACAAUGGGGGAAACCCUGAUGCAGCGAUGCCGCGCGAGUGAAGAAGGCCUUUGGGUUGUAAAACUCUUUCGUCGGGGAAGAAAAUGACUGUACCCGAAUAAGAAGGUCCGGCUAACUUCGUGCCAGCAGCCGCGGUAAUACGAAGGGACCUAGCGUAGUUCGGAAUUACUGGGCUUAAAGAGCUCGUAGGUGGUUAAAAAAGUUGGUGGUGAAAUCCCAAGGCUCAACCUUGGAACUGCCAUCAAAACUUUUUAGCUUGAGUGUGAUAGAGGAAGGUGGAAUUUCUAGUGUAGAGGUGAAAUUCGUAGAUAUUUAGAAAGAACACCAAAUGCGAAGGCAACUUUCUGGAUCAUUACUGACACUGAGGAGCGAAAGCAUGGGUAGCGAAGAGGAUUAGA